GCUAAGGUAGCAUAAUAAUUUGUUUCUUAAUAAGAAAAUGGUAUGAAUGAAUCCUCCCUUUCCUGCCUUAUUACUAAGCACGUGGUAAAAAUUAAACAACUGAUGAAAAUUUCAGUAUAAAAAACCUAGACGAUAAGACCCUAUGAAGCUUAGCCAAAAGGAAAGCAAGAGUUGAAUCUAAAUUAGCCUAUUGGUUUAAUUGGGGCAAUAGUUAAUAGUUACAUUUUAGUACUGUUUAAUAAAAACGAUCCUUUUAGGAUUAGCGGAGCCAGCUACUCUAGGGAUAACAGCACUAUAGUUAUAAAAGCUCUUAUUAGAAUAACUCUUUGUGACCUCGAUGUUGAAUUAGAAUUAUUAUACGUGUAGCAGCUUAUAGUACUUUAGUCUG
rnacentral:rRNA from 1 species